UGAAGAGAGAACGUGAGUCAAGGAGCGGUUUGGCUGAGGGUUUAGGGGUUUCGUCUCUCCUGCCACUCCCUGAGGCCGGCGGCUUUCGUCCCCGCCAUGGCUGAGCUAAUCCAGAAGAAGCUGCAGGGAGAAGUGGAGAAAUAUCAACAGCUGCAGAAGGACUUGAGUAAAUCCAUGUCAGGGAGGCAGAAACUAGAGGCACAACUAACAGAGAAUAAUAUUGUGAAGGAGGAACUGGCCCUGCUGGAUGGGUCCAACGUGGUGUUUAAACUUCUGGGGCCGGUGCUGGUCAAACAGGAGCUGGGGGAAGCUCGGGCCACAGUGGGGAAAAGGCUGGACUACAUCACAGCUGAGAUUAAGCGAUAUGAAUCCCAGCAAUAG